AAUUGGCUGAGAUUUUACUGGCAGGUCCUUGACUACAGUUUACACUGUAAUAGUUGCUAAUUAUAUUUACAGUAAUGCUUUAUAGGCAUUUUGGAGGGAAAUAGUUUAAAGACAAGUCAGUACAAAUAUUCAGUGAUUUUAGUUAUUAAUUGUUAAACAUCUAUGUUGGUCUUACCAUUUUAAUGAAGUUAUUUUGAACUUGAAAGGUGGUUACUUUUUUUUGUUCUUUAGGGACACUAGUAAACUCUUUAGUGUUAAAUAUGUGGUCAUAAAAGAAUAAAGAUGACAUAAGAGAAACAGUAGAAUCAGAUUAGAUAUCAAGAUGUGGCCAAAAUGACUAGUAAUAUGUGUAUUUAAAUAUAAUUUGUUGUAUCAAAAUAUAAUUUGUUUUAUUUUGAAGAUUUUAGUUUUGAAUUUUGAUAUACUGAUGAGUCAUCAUGCUGGAUAAUGCCAUGCUAACCUUUCUAUGCAUAUGUGUGAACAAAUCAGAUCCAAUAGAUACAAAAAUAAAAUUCAAGGGCUCAAUAGAUUAAAAUAAAAGUUAAGGGACAUAAUAUUUUUUUUCUUGAGAGUUUAAGUGCACCGAAUAACCUUCGGAACGCAAUGAACUUUUCAGUCUUUA
rnacentral:misc_RNA from 1 species